UACAGAGGUCUCAAGCGUUGUUCGGAUUCAUUGGGCGUAAAGCGCACGUAGGCGGAUGUGUCAGUCAGGGGUGAAAUCCCGGAGCUCAACUUCGGAACUGCCUUUGAUACAGCACGUCUUGAGUCCGAUAGAGGUGGGUGGAAUUCCUAGUGUAGAGGUGAAAUUCGUAGAUAUUAGGAAGAACACCGGUGGCGAAGGCGGCCCACUGGAUCGGUACUGACGCUGAGGUGCGAAAGCGUGGGGAGCAAACAGG
rnacentral:rRNA from 1 species